rnacentral:rRNA from 1 species
AGCAGCCGCGGUAAUUCCAGCUCCAAUAGCGUAUAUUAAAGUUGUUGCAGUUAAAAAGCUCGUAGUUGAAUUUCGGGAUUGGCGCAUCGGUCGUGCCUCACGGGGUAUGAACUGGUGCAGUCAAUUUCUCACCUUCUGGAGAACCGCGAUGUCCUUAAUUGGAUGCCGUGGGGAACCAGGACCUUUACUUUGAAAAAUUAGAGUGUUUAAAGCAGGCAUUUUUGCUUGAAUACAUUAGCAUGGAAUAAUAAAAUAGGACGGCAUGGUUCUAUUUUGUUGGUUUCUAGGACCACCGUAAUGAUUAAUAGGGAUAGUUGGGGGCAUUAGUAUUCAAUUGUCAGAGGUGAAAUUCUUGGAUUUAUUGAAGACUAACUACUGCGAAAGCAUUUGCCAAGGAUGUUUUCAUUAAUCAAGAACGAAAGUUAGGGGAUCGAAGACGAUCAGAUACCGUCGUAGUCUUAACCAUAAACUAUGCCGACUAGGAAUCAGACGAUGUUA